AAUAAACACCAAGUAUCAUCCAAGUGGUAAUUUGGAUCUUAAAUAUUCCUGUCUGAGUCUUUGAAAAGAAAGAGAAGCAACAUUCCAGAUCACUGGUUACAAAUGAUCAUAAUCUUUUUCAUCUAUGGAGAACUGUAAUUAACAGCAGGAAUAUUUGCAGAAGUGGAAGAAAAAUUGUUUUCUAUUCAAGAGUAUUGUGGGUCAAGGAUCAGUGAAGAGGAGUACACUUGCAAGCACAACUCUGCAGUGCCUACGUGAGCUUAGAAGGCAGUGGUUCACAGGAGAAAACCCUUUGUCCUUUGACAGUGUGAGCCUGCUGAUCAAAGACUUAAAUGCACCUAAAGUGUGACUGAGCAUUACACGUACUCUGGCAGAGAAGAGAGUAUGUGAA
rnacentral:lncRNA from 1 species